ensembl:lncRNA
AUGACUUCCUUUACAAAGGCUGAGGAGGAGCUCCAGGACAAUCACCAAACGAAGGCAUACGAGAAUUUACAACACAAUCAGCAGAGGAGAAGGCAGCUCCAGAAUGAUCUUCAAUCACAGCAGCGAAAUCAUCGCCUGAGCAGGGCAGCCUGGCUGCAGGGCCGCUGGUUGGAGAUCAGUGAGCAGGAGCGCAGGGCUCAGAUCAAGAACCAAAAGCUGUUGCAGGACUUUCAGAGAGCACAAGACACGCUCAAUGACAUGGUGGCCCGCACUGAAGCCAUGAACACUAUACGGGUUCAGUAUGAACAGUAUCUGCAAGAGAGCUUCCCACGAUGGCAGCAAAGGCUCAAAGACAUAAGAGUUUCUGAAAAGUCAAAGCAGGUACAACAGCACUUAAAGAGCUAUAUUCAGAAGAUGGAAGAGGAAGAAGGCAUCAAGUCUGAACACAGGUCUGACUUUAGAGCCCACCUUCUAUCCUCCAAUUUUCCAGACGCAUCUCAGCCUUCACACACCAUGCUAAACACUCAUCAGAAAGUAAAAGACAUCAAGCUAAAUUCUGAAAGAUGCGACCAUGAUCCUUACAUUCCACCUACUUGGUUAACUGGCUCACAGCUUUCUAUUUCCGGACUCCCCCAAAACAAUGUCGCAAAGGAUUACAAAAACCUUCAGAACACUCAAGCCUUAAAUCAUGCCUUGCCACCUUACUAUUCUUUAACUGGCGAUAUAGUCCAUCAGUUACAUUCUCCAGUCCAGCAAAAGCCACCAUCAAUGGACCAUCUGUGGGCUGGGAUAAGACAAGGGUCUAUGCCUACAGCUCACUUCACUCCUCCUGCUGCUUCCUGGCCACGACUUCCUGUGCUGAACCCCAUGACGUGGGGUAUGAUGGAUGCACCAGUCCCCAGUGAAGAAACAAUCCAAUGCAGUGAGCCAGACAAGGAAAAGGUGACACAAGCUAAACCAAAACACAAGAGGAAAGGGAAAGGGAGUGAUCGGUCUUCUGAGCUCGACUGUAGACCAGUGCGUCUGUCAAUCAACCAUGAAGAAAGUAGUGAUAGCAGCGCUGUGUCCUCUAAAGUCACAGUUUCUGGGAUGCAAAAACGGAGAAAGAAAAAAAUUGAUGGGACAAAUUCAUACUCUACAGAAAAUAAGGAUGAAUCUCAUGGCUCUUCCACUAUGUCACAAGAUGCUUCACAUAGUAACUCGGGCCCAAAAAUCAACCACAAACAUCAAAAGCAGUUUAAUAAGUGCAACAGCAAAGAAUCUGUUAUCACAGAGAAGGCUGUUGAUGCAGUGAUGCAAGAUGAAGACGAACAGGAAGAAAGCAAGAGCCAAGAAAUUUCUCAGAGUAGUGUCAGCUCUGAAAAGAAAGAUGGAUCUGAAGGACUUAAUGUUAGAGAGGAAGAAGAAGAGUCUAAUGAAGAAGAUGAUGACAGUCAUGAUAUCAUUGUGGCCGAGGAGAAAAUAAGUCACAGACAAGCUAAGGACGAAGAAGAGGAUGAGGAAAGCACAGAUGGAGAUGAGGAAGCAGGUUUUGAUGAUGAAGCACAGGGAGGCAAUGAAGAAGGGAGUGAGAAAAUGACGGGAAAGAGAGAUGGGACUGAACGCAGUCAUAGAGAAGAGCCAGAAAGGGAAGGCGAUGUUCCAGAUGACAUUCCAGAUUGUGGAGAUGGAGGAGAAACAACGGAGGAAGAGGAGGGAGACAAUAGUUUCCAAAAUACAAAGGAGGCUAGAAAGACUCAAGAAACUGUAGAAGAUGAAAAAGAUAUUCACAAAAGCCUCGAGGAGUCUGAAGAGGAAGAGGUUUACAAUCGAGAAACAGAAGAUGAUGAAGAAGAAGAAGAUGACGAGGUUGUGGUUGAGAAAGCAUACCCCUGGUCACGAGACCCUUUUGAUGAUCAUACAAAAUGCCCUGAGGAUGAUGAGGAUGAUAUUGAAAGUCUUCUCAACCCUGUCAACUCCCAAACACAGCAGGAGGAUGAUAUGAAGGAGACAGACCAAUCAAAUGAUCAACCCUCUGAUUUAGAGGAGGAAAAUCUACCACAGAAGAGUCAUCCUGCAGCCACAAAUGAGAUCGUGGAGUCUGAUGAUGAGUUUGACCACUUCUAUGAUUAAACCAGAAACUACAACAGAAAGAUGGGAGACAGAAAAAGAACAGAACAGAAAGAGAAAACCAACAAUGGAUGAAUACGCUGAACAGAAGCUGCAAUAACUCAAUGCUUUCAGAAAAUGAGCAAGGUGCACACCCUAAACAGCAGCUUCAGACCAGCCAGAGAGCCACAAGGCCGAGCAAUGAAUAGAGGAAUCACAUUACAAAGGGAUGAAAGAGGAAAGAAAGGGAUAAAUAGAUGCUGGGUGUCCCUCAUCUUUUUUUGUUAUUUGCUGGUAGCUUAUCUGACUGUCCUGAAAGAACCGCACCACUGUCACUCUGCAAACACAGGUGGAUCCAGAGACGAAGAGAGAAUAAUAGAGGAGAUGAAUAGUGGAUGACGUUAAACGAGAGAAGCCAAGUUAUAGAUUUUAUUCUAAGUGCAUAGCUGGAAUGCUAUCACAUUUCUAAAACAGAAAAGUGUUUCUUUAAUCUAAAUCUAUGUCCUAAAAGGAAUCAAAGUGUUUGCCCUGAGUUCUUUGGAAUUAAUUUAAAUGUAGCAAGAAUUUGAACGCUUUCUCAUUCAGAUAGGGAGCGUGGCCUGAAGCGAGGGGGGUUAGUGAAGUUUCGGGGGAAGUGGGAAGGAGUGCAGGCCUGUCACUGCCUCUGACUGAUGGCUAUUUGAACAGGCAUAUUUACCCGGGCCCUUGUGAAAGGAGACGGAGGGACACUAACGGAGACGCGCAGGCACAGACAGGCAAUAAAAAGCUGGCCACUGUGUAAACAACAUGGCCUAGUCUGUUCGGCCGCUGCCAUGCCAACAGGGCAGCUUCCACUCUCCAGCCAAUCACAUGCCAGCUUUUUGACAAGCGGAACAAAACCCCCAUGAGACGUUUUAAGCAGCCAUCGAAAAAAAUGCUUAUAAAAUAAAAUAUUUCCUUCUGCGUUUGGGUUGUUGAUACGGUUUGGAUGUCCUGCAGAAUGACAUGCUGUACUGUUUCAAACAGCAUUUUGUAAUUCUUUUAGAAUUGUUGCGCAUGCAAUUUAGUUCUUUUAAAAUUUGUCACAACUCAGGAUCAUUUAAAAUUAACUAAAUAUACACAAAUACAUUUACACAGAAUUUAAUUACAUUUAUCAUUUGACAAACUUUUUCACCAACAAUCACCUGGCAGCAGAUCCCUUCCUCCUGCCCCUACCCCCUCACAGUCUGGAUCCACAGCUGGGCUACUGAUGACCUGCAGACAGCAUCUUCACACCCUACAAAUCCACAUUCACACCCUUGUAAUGCUAAGAACUGAAUACACACAUAGCCAGACUUUCAGAUAUUUAGAAAGUCACGUCACAGUCAUCCAUCAUAUCAACAUACAGCCGAAUCUGUUGAUGGGCCGACUUCUAAAGAAGACAAUAAUCUGUGCAGGAACAGAUCAUAGCCCAGAAAGCUCAUGGAGUCCUGACGUCUCGCCCUCUGUCUGAAUCUCGGACACACACUGAGGGGUCUGUGGCUUCUGCUCAGAUCGCUGUGGGUGUCCCUGUGUCCCAUUGUUGAGAAGACACUGCUUUGGGGAGGUCCACCAUUAAGACAGUGUCUUCCUAUUGUUCUCAUACACUCAAACACAAUCCUGCUUACCCAAGAAUCAAAGGUUAGGCUAGCAUUCAGCCCAUGAGACACCACACCAACCACACUAAACAGUCAAAAUCGGUGCAUCUGUAGUUUGAUGGGUUUGUGCAGUUGUAUUGCUGGCACAUGUUAUAAAUAUGCAUUUUAUUUUCAAUUAUUAUUUCAAUUUUUUGUUUAUUUAUUUUUAUAUUAUCAAAUUAUAUUAUCAUACAUAAUAAAAAAUAUAUUUAGAAUUUGUUCUGCCUGUUUGAAAACAUCUAAGCGGCAUACACAUGAAUUUUUAUUUCAAACUCAUUCACUAAUACAUUU